UAUGUGUGAAAAGCAAAAAAUUAUAUUUAAAAAAAUUCUAAAUUAUGUAUAUUUUAAAGAUUAUAUUUUCAAACUUGGCAUCAUCUUUCUUUCAGAUGGCUACCAAAGUUAUGCGAUCACAUGUUUCACAGACCUUAUUUUUUAGAUAUCCCCACAAAAAAUAAUCCAUUGGUGAUAGGUAACUUGUAACAACCCGUAUUAUGAGCCGGACAGCCAUAUUGUGAAAAUACAUAUCCAAGCCGACGUUGCAAAGGAAUAUCAUGCUAGAAGAAGCCCAGCGAAUAUCCUUAGCCUGCCUAAACCUAGAACCCGCCUUCAUACACCUGCUCCAAGCAGAGCUUGGAUAAUCAGAGGUUUGAAUUGCAUAGCCAGUAAUGGUGCCCAGUAUGAACAGUUUCUUUAAAAGAUAGGAGACAAAACACUAUCAACUAUCAAAAAUGUGGAAAAAAGUAAUAAGGUACAAAUAACAUUUUUUAAGUUAGUUGGUGUAUUCCGCAAUAUUUAGCUAAAAUGUCAAUCUGUAUUAGUUAAAAUAACGUGCAUCAGCAACCAUGAAAUACAUGUUUUUAUUUAUUUA
rnacentral:lncRNA from 1 species